GUGGAUAAUCUGCCCUUCGGCGGGGGACAACAGUCCGAAAGGAUUGCUAAUACCGCAUACGUCAGCGAGGUCUUCGGACUUUGUUGGGAAAGACGGCCUCUUCAUGAAAGCUGUCACCGAAGGAUGAGUCCGCGUCCCAUCAGCUAGUUGGCGGUGUAAUAGACCACCAAGGCUAAGACGGGUAGCUGGUCUGAGAGGAUGAUCAGCCACACUGGAACUGAGACACGGUCCAGACUCCUACGGGAGGCAGCAGUGGGGAAUAUUGGGCAAUGGGCGCAAGCCUGACCCAGCCAUGCCGCGUGAGUGAUGAAGGCCUUCGGGUCGUAAAGCUCUGUGGAGGGGGAAGAAACCUCUUGUGGCUAAUAUCCACGAGAAUUGACGGUACCCCUUUAGCAAGCACCGGCUAACUCCGUGCCAGCAGCCGCGGUAAUACGGAGGGUGCAAACGUUGCUCGGAAUCAUUGGGCGUAAAGCGCACGUAGGCGGCCUGUUAAGUCGGAUGUGAAAGCCCUGGGCUCAACCCAGGAAGUGCAUACGAAACUGGCAGGCUUGAAUAUGGAAGAGGGUCGCGGAAUU
rnacentral:rRNA from 1 species